GCCCGGUUAGCUCAAUCGGUAGAGCGUGAGACUCUUAAUCUCAAGGUUGCGGGUAAGUUCAUCUGAGGUACAUAUCUCACGAUCAUCUGGCUAACAUCAUCUCAAAGGUUCGACCCCCGCAUCGGGCU